rnacentral:rRNA from 1 species
AUUGAACGCUGGCGGCAGGCCUAACCCAUGCAAGUCGAACGAGUGGCGGACGGGUGAGUAAUGUCUGGGAAACUGCCUGAUGGAGGGGGAUAACUACUGGAAACGGUAGCUAAUACCGCAUACCAUCAGAUGUGCCCAGAUGGGAUUAGCUAGUUGGGGGGGUAACGGCUCACCAAGUCGACGAUCCCUAGCUGGUCUGAGAGGAUGAUCAGCCACACUGGGACUGAGACACGGUCCAGUUUCCUAAGGGAGGUAGAAGGGGGGAAUAUUGCACAAUGGGCGCAAGCCUGAUGCAGCCAUGCCGCGUGUAUGAAGAAGUCCGUAGGGUUGUAAAUUACUUUCAGCGGGGAGGCGUUACCCGCAGAAGAAGCACCGGCUAACUCCGUGCCAGCAGCCGCGGUAAUUC